rnacentral:lncRNA from 1 species
CUGAACAUGGGCAGUGGCUUCUGACAAAUGCUGCCUCCGCUCUCAUUAGUAUUCCCAGCAUGGGCCCCGCUACCACGAAUCCAGAAACUAUGUUCUUCUCCGGGAACUCCUGCUCCCCAGAGAAUCUUUGCCUUUUGAGGAAAUAUAGCCCCCGUGAUCUCUAGGGCAUAUUCUGGAAUCACUAUGGCUACUGAGGUGUGAGGUGAGAAUGCCUAUUUCCGUGGAUCCCAGCCAUUUUGACACAAGAAACAAGUAUCUGGUGUUCUCCAGAAGAGGCUGCCUUGAAAACUCUUGCCCAGUCAUCAGACCAGAGAGGUCUGUUUCCUUACACAAUUUUCAAUGACGUUCUUGUAUAAUACUCAAUCAUUUGUGCUUUUCACCUGUCUUCCCCAAGACUGAGGCCUUCAAGGAAGAGGUCCUUCUGCUAUACAUCAGGGUAAGCCCUGUGUCUGCCACCUUCAUUUAUGAAUGGAAGUAUGGCUAAAUUACUGACCAAUUAUAUAAAAGAAUGAGUGGAUGAGUAAAGGAAGGAAAGAAGAAAUUAGGCUAAUAAGAAUUUUUCACCACACUCUUAUCCUAUAGGCGCCAAAUCCCUGGAGACCGGAGUCAAAAGUCGUAACUAUAAUUCAAGCUGUCUUAUGUGUACACACAUUUUUAUGGCUUACACUGAAAAUUAAGCACUUGAUAAUGACCUAUUUCAUUUUUAUGAAUGUUUAAAUUAGGAUAAUAAAAUCUGAAAUUAAAUUCACCAACCGGCCUCACUUCAGCCAUCUCCAGUUUUCCUUGCUAUGUCCUUUCUAGGGCACUCAG